CAAGCCCUGCCUUCCUUCCUGGGAUCCUGCCUUCAAUUUGAUUGCACAGGUACCACAGCAAGCCAGUGCUGUGUGCUCCGAGUUCCAGGGCGUCCUCCAGCUCAGCCACUGCACUGAGAACAUGGACUCUCUGUGGGGCCCAGGAGCCGGGAGUCACCCCUUUGGGGUCCACAACACCCGGCUGUCCCCAGACUUGUGUCCAGGGAAGAUAGUGUUGAGGGCCCUCAAGGAGAGCGGGGCAGGGAUGCCUGAGCAGGACAAGGACCCUAGAGUCCAAGAGAAUCCUGGUGAUCAGAGAAGGGUCCCCGAGGUCACCGGGGAUGCACCGUCUGCAUUUCGGCCCCUGCGGGACAAUAGAGGCCUCUCUCCCUUUGUGCCCGGGCCCGGGCCUCUGCAGACAGACCUCCAUGCCCAGAGGUCAGAAAUCAGAUAUAACCAGACAUCCCAGACCUCCUGGACGAGCUCCUGCACCAACCGAAAUGCCAUCUCCAGCUCCUACAGCUCCACGGGAGGCUUGCCGGGGCUAAAGCGGAGGAGGGGGCCAGCCUCAUCCCACUGCCAGCUGACCCUCAGUUCCUCAAAGACAGUGAGUGAGGACAGGCCUCAGGCUGUCUCUUCAGGUCACACCCAGUGUGAAAAGGCAGCAGAUAUAGCACCAGGGCAGACACUCGCCCUCAGGAAUGACUCCUCCACAUCCGAGGCCUCUAGGCCCAGUACACACAAGUUUCCCCUGCUGCCACGCAGGCGAGGGGAGCCUUUGAUGCUGCCACCUCCCUUAGAGCUGGGGUACCGGGUCACUGUUGAAGACCUGGACCGGGAGAAGGAGGCGGCAUUCCAGCGCAUCAACAGUGCACUGCAGGUUGAGGACAAGGCCAUCUCGGACUGCAGACCCUCACGACCUUCCCACACUUUGUCCUCACUUGCAACAGGGACUUCUGGUCUGCCUGCCAUUUCUAAAGCACCCAGUAUGGAUGUACAGCAGGAGACACACAAGUCCCAAGACUGCCUGGGCCUACUGGCCCCCUUAGCAUCUGCUGCAGGUGUCCCCUCUACAGCUCCCAUGUCUGGGAAGAAGCACAAACCACCAGGCCCCCUGUUCUCCUCCUCAGAUCCCCUUCCUGCCACCUCUUCCCAUUCCCAGGACUCAGCCCAGGUCACCUCGCUGAUUCCUGCCCCCUUCCCAGCUGCAAGCAUGGAUGUGGGCAUGAGAAGAACAAGGUGUGGCACUUCUGCUCCUGCAGCUGCCGCAGCAGCCCCUCCCCCCUCCACAUUGAACCCCACGUUGGGGUCACUACUGGAGUGGAUGGAGGCCCUUCACAUUUCUGGGCCUCAGCCACAGCUGCAGCAGGUGCCCAGAGGUCAGAACCAGAGAUCCCAGACCUCCCGGACCAGCUCGUGCCCCAAACGAAAUGCCAUCUCGAGCCCCUACCGCUCUACGGGAGGCCUCCCGGAACGAAAGCGGAGAAGGGGGCCAGCCUCAUCCCACUGCCAGCUGAACCUCAGUUCCUGAAACACAUAGGACCCAGGGUGCGUGCCCAUCUCCAGCCCAGGGCAGCUCCCCUGUAAGCUGGGUGAGCUACUGAAGCCAAGGCGGGAGGCAGCUGACAACACCCACAGCCCAUGCGGAGGUGGUGGAAAGGCUGAACUCAGCAGCAACACCAAAUCCUGGACCAGGCAAAAACCACCCAAGACUGAGGGGCUCGUGCCAGAGCGGUGGCCACAGAGACUUCAGAACCCACUCCUGAGAACAGCGGAGCCAGGCGCUUAGAGGAAGACCAAAUGCUGCCAGGACACGGAUUGUCCAGGAUUACAUUCCAGCAUCUUAUUAGAGGACCGAAGCAGAGGGUGCUGUUUCAACGCCACCACCAGGAGAGAGGCAGAGGGGCUGUGCCGUGCUAGAGUCCUCAGGGAGGGAGUGACCUCGACCCUGGCUGUGCUGCAAGCUGACUCCAGCCUUGGGGUCAGCAGCACCCGGCAAACAGCAGCAGGAGGAGCCGCUAGAGCAGCUGCUCAUGGGCAGAGCUGCCCUCGGGCAACUCCUGCCACCACCCCCUCCCCAGGGAGCCCA
ensembl:lncRNA POM121L15P POM121 transmembrane nucleoporin like 15, pseudogene